GGGCGCAGCAGUCGCGAAAACUCCGCAAUGCGCGAAAGCGUGACGGGGCUACCCCGAGUGCCGUCCGAUGAGGAUGGCUUGCCCCGGUGUAAUGAGCCGGGGGAAUAAGGAGAGGGCAAGUCUGGUGUCAGCCGCCGCGGUAAUACCAGCUCUCCGAGUGGUAGGGACGACUAUUGGGCCUAAAGCGUCCGUAGCCGGCUUAGCAAGUCUCCUGUUAAAUUCAGCGACCUAAUCGUUGAGUUGCGGGAGAUACUACUAGGCUAGGAGGCGAGAGAGGCCGACGGUAUUCCCGGGGUAGGGGUGAAAUCCUAUAAUCCCGGGAGGACCACCAGUGGCGAAGGCUGUCGGCUAGAGCGCGCUCGACGGUGAGGGACGAAAGCUGGGGGAGCGAACCGGAUUAGAUACCCGGGUAGUCCCAGCUGUAAACGAUGCGGGCUAGGUGUUGGGGUGGCUACGAGCCACUUCAGUGCCGCAGGGAAGCCAUUAAGCCCGCCGCCUGGGGAGUACGGCCGCAAGGCUGAAACUUAAAGGAAUUGGCGGGGGAGCACCACAAGGCGUGAAGCUUGCGGUUCAAUUGGAGUCAACGCCGGGAACCUUACCGGGGGCGACAGCAG
rnacentral:rRNA from 1 species